rnacentral:rRNA from 1 species
CCUACGGGAGGCAGCAGUGGGGAAUAUUGCACAAUGGGGGAAACCCUGAUGCAGCGACGCCGCGUGAGUGAGGAAGUAUUUCGGUAUGUAAAGCUCUAUCAGCAGGGAAGAGAAAAGAAGGUGCCUGAAAAAAAAACGCCGGCUAACUACGUGCCAGCAGCCGCGGUAAUACGUAGGGGGCAAGCGUUAUCCGGGUUUACUGGGUGUAAAGGGAGCGUAGACGGCAAGGCAAGUCAGAAGUGAAAGCCCAAGGCUCAACCAUCGGACUGCUUUGGAAACUGUCAAACUAGAGUGCGGGAGAGGUAAGUGGAAUUCCUAGUGUAGCGGUGAAAUGCGUAGAUAUUAGGAGGAACACCAGUGGCGAAGGCGGCUUACUGGACCGAAACUGACGUUGAGGCUCGAAAGCGUGGGGAGCAAACAGGAUUAGAUACCCCAGUAGUC